ensembl:lncRNA
AUGUCAGUUAAUUUUAAAACUUCUUCCCUUCCCCGGCCCGGAAAUCUGAGGGAGAACGGGGGUCACGGUCAGCGUCAUUUUGAUUUCUCGCACAGGACCUCUUCCCACUCGUGGCUGUUCCGGGCCUGCUCUCGUGUGGCCGCAGGGGAAGGAGAGGGGGUGUUCCCUUUGGCCGGACUCCUUCUUGAAAUGGCCAAACCUGCCUGCCUCUCUCAAGAAGCACAGCAAGCCUUCGGGAACCCAGGAACUUGGGGCGUGCAAGCCAUUUGGAGCGCAGUCUUCUCUCCUCUUCUGUCUUCUCAAGGAGCCAGCCACCGACAGUUUGUCUUCAGACUUUAGGAAGAAGUCAGACACCAGUCCCUUUGUCCCUGAAACUCCGCAGGCUGUAUCAAACUCCCCGGGUGGUCCUCUUGAAGCGCCCCCUCAUUUGGCCUGAAGCAAAGAGGGAGCACCCCCCACCCUCCCCUGCUUGGGGAGAAGGGGAAACGUCCAGCAUACAGACAGCUACUUCCAAAGAAAUCCUCUCACAUUCUCUUCCAUAGCCUGAGGUGGAUGCCGAGCUAAUCCUUCCCAGUAUUGAGCUAGUGCUUCCCGGGGUCCAUUUCACAACCUCUUAGGGUGGGUGCAUAGGUGAUCUGGCUCCUCCUCCCUUUAGAAUGUGGACAGAUUGGCGCCUAUGGUUUGGUUCUCAGCCUUUGGGGUUUCUGGUGAAACUGACACAGAAAGAGUGCCGUUUUAGUAAAUGAAGUCACCACUGUCAACCCCUCCUCCUUAUGGAACUCCUGUUCUUACAUCAGGACACCUGAUGCGCUGUAGGUGAUCUGCAAGAGUCUGACUUAUGAAAUGGACUGUGAAUGUACAGUUCAUAUAGAAUUAAGUACUAAGUAGCAUAUAUAUUAUAAUUUCAUAUUCAAUAUUAAUGUUUGCAUACUAUAUAUUUACAUAGAUAAUUAGCUUAUGUGAAUGUACAGUUCAUAUAGAAUUAAAUACUACGUAGCAUAUAUAUUAUAAUUUCAUAUUCAAUACUAAUGUUUGCAUAUUAUAUAUUUACAUAGAGAGAUAAUGAGCUUAUACAAAAUACAUACAGGACUUUUGUUUUUGACAUUAUGAAAGAUUAGGCUUGCAGAGAAAUCUCUCAAUAUAAAACGCCUUAAGCACUGAGUGAAAUUUUAACAAACACAUAAAAACACUUUUUCAGAGCAUGACAGAGCUG